CGUCUAUAUACGUAUAGCAUAUCAAUAAGCGGAGGAAAAGUAACUAACAAGGAUUCCCUUAGUAACGGCGAGUGAAGCGGGAAGAGCUCAAAUUUGAAAUCUUCAAGGUUCUACCUUGACGAAUUGUAGUUUAUAGAAGUGUUUUCUGUUAGUAGAGUGGCAAAAGUUCUUUGGAAUAGGACAUCAUAGAGGGUGAGAAUCCCGUAUUUGACCGUUACUUUCUAGCUGUGUGAUACACUUUCAAAGAGUCGGAUUGUUUGGGAAUGCAGUCCAAAGAUGGGUGGUAAAUUUCAUCUAAAGCUAAAUAUUGGCGAGAGACCGAUAGCGAACAAGUACCGUGAGGGAAAGAUGAAAAGAACUUUGAAAAGAGAGUUAAACAGUACGUGAAAUUGUCAAAAGGGAAGCGUUUGACACCAGUGUUGUUUAGUUGAAAAUCAAUUCAAUAAUUUUUGAUUUUAAGUAGUAUUGACUUCAUCAGCUUGCUGCUUUCUUUUCAGGAAUUAUUGAAUGCACUUUUCAGUUAACAAGUCAACAUCAAUUUCUUUUGUUGUAAAAGGGUAAGAGGAAGGUGGCUUACGUUUCGGCGUAAGUGUUUAUAGCCUUUUACCUCUGCAAUCGGAGAGAUUGAGGCCAGCAGCGUAGACUCCUUCUGGGGUUAGAUACACUUGUGCUAAGCUAUAGCCUUGUAUAGACAACUUGUUGACUAUGCUCAGUCAUGUAGCUUACUCGCUUGUGCUAUUUUACCUACGCUUAGGAUGUUGACGCGCGUGUGUGCGUG
rnacentral:rRNA from 1 species